UACGGGGGGGGCAAGCGUUGUUCGGAAUUACUGGGCGUAAAGGGCUCGUAGGCGGCCAACUAAGUCGGAUGUGAAAUCCCCAGGCUUAACCUGGGAACUGCAUCCGAUACUGGAUGGCUUGAAUCCGGGAGAGGGAUGCAGAAUUCCAGGUGUAGCGGUGAAAUGCGUAGAUAUUGGGAAGAACACCGGUGGCGAAGGCGGCUAUCUGGCCCGUAAUUGACGCUGAGGCGCGAAAGCGUGGGGAGCAAACAGG
rnacentral:rRNA from 1 species